rnacentral:rRNA from 1 species
UACAGGGGGGGCAAGCGUUGUUCGGAAUUACUGGGCGUAAAGGGCUCGUAGGCGGCCAACUAAGUCCGACGUGAAAUCCCAAAGCUUAACUUUGGAACUGCGUCGGAUACUGGAUGGCUUGAAUUCGGGAGAGGGAUGCAGAAUUCCAGGUGUAGCGGUGAAAUGCGUAGAUAUCUGGAGGAACACCGGUGGCGAAGGCGGCAUCCUGGACCGACACUGACGCUGAGGCGCGAAAGCUAGGGUAGCAAACGGG